ACGAACGCUGGCGGCGUGCCUAAUCCAUGCAAGUAGAACGCUGAAGGAGGAGCUUGCUUCUCUGGAUGAGUUGCGAACGGGUGAGUAACGCGUAGGUAACCUGCCUGGUAGCGGGGGAUAACUAUUGGAAACGAUAGCUAAUACCGCAUAAUAGUAGAUGUUGCAUGACAUUUGCUUAAAAGGUGCAAUUGCAUCACUACCAGAUGGACCUGCGUUGUAUUAGCUAGUUGGUGAGGUAACGGCUCACCAAGGCAACGAUACAUAGCCGACCUGAGAGGGUGAUCGGCCACACUGGGACUGAGACACGGCCCAGACUCCUACGGGAGGCAGCAGUAGGGAAUCUUCGGCAAUGGACGGAAGUCUGACCGAGCAACGCCGCGUGAGUGAAGAAGGUUUUCGGAUCGUAAAGCUCUGUUGUAAGAGAAGAACGAGUGUGAGAGUGGAAAGUUCACACUGUGACGGUAUCUUACCAGAAAGGGACGGCUAACUACGUG
rnacentral:rRNA from 1 species